rnacentral:miRNA from 1 species
UGGCGGGGGUAGAGCUGGCUGC